CAAGCUCCCACCUCGCGUCCAGUCGAGCCUCCAGCAAGCUUCCACCCGAGUCUCGCCGUCGAUGGUUCAACCGAGUCAUUCCUCUCUUUUUUUUGGCCACAACACGCAAAAAAACAACAAAGAGUCAUUCUUCCAUUUUAUUGUAAUAUGGGUACCUAUGCCUGAAAAAAACAAAAGGGGAUUCCCGUAUUUAUGUAUGAAAUCAAGCAAUGCCAAAGGGGGAGAACUUUUCUUCUAGAUUUUUUGUGUAUUCAAACCAUGCAAAGGGAAUAGAAAAAAAAAACAACUUUCAAGCUGACAGUACUAGCAGACAACCGUUGCUCAAGGUGUUCUUCAAGUAGUGGGUUGUUCAUUAGCAAGCCCCAUCUGUUCCUCUGCUGGUAUCAUUGCUCGAGCCUUCUCCAGGUUUGACCACUGUAUCAACAAUUGUGUAACAACCUUGUUCUGCCUCUUCAUCAUUCUCUUGUUGAGCACAAUGGUAGGAUAGACCUUCAUCUGUCCAUCAUCACUGAGUU